UACGGGGGGAGCAAGCGUUGUUCGGAUUUACUGGGCGUAAAGGGCGCGUAGGCGGUCGUGACAAGUCAUUUGUGAAAUCUCCGGGCUUAACUCGGAGCGGUCAAGUGAUACUGUCGGACUAGAGUACAGAAGGGGCAACUGGAAUUCUCGGUGUAGCGGUGAAAUGCGUAGAUAUCGAGAGGAACACCUGCGGCGAAGGCGGGUUGCUGGGCUGAUACUGACGCUGAGGCGCGAAAGCCAGGGGAGCGAACGGG
rnacentral:rRNA from 1 species